UAAGGAUUUACAUAUCUUCAUUAAAAUAAACUCUUCACAAUAUGUUUGUAGUUACUGCUGCACAUGGCGGCAGUGUCCAGGUUUUUUCAUUGUCCAUCUUAAUUACUUUUCUGGAGUUUUCACCUUACCUACCCAAUAUCGGCUUAUGACAUAUUAAAAGAGUGGAUUUGCGUAUCUACGAAUCUUUUAAAAUUAU
rnacentral:lncRNA from 1 species